rnacentral:rRNA from 1 species
UACAGAGGUCUCAAGCGUUGUUCGGAUUCAUUGGGCGUAAAGGGUGCGUAGGUGGCGCCGUAAGUCAGGUGUGAAAUUUCGGAGCUUAACUCCGAAACUGCAUUUGAUACUGCGGUGCUUGAGGACUGGGAGAGGAGACUGGAAUUCACGGUGUAGCAGUGAAAUGCGUAGAGAUCGGGAGGAACACCGGUGGCGAAGGCGGGUCUCUGGGACGGUACUGACGCUGAGACGCGAAAGCAUGGGGAGCGAAACAGGAUUAGAACCUACGUAGUCAGAUCCAAGAUCC